AAAGUGUUGUGUACUCACUGAAUCCUCUCGAUAUUCCUUGGAGGUAGAUGCUUUUAUGAUUCCCAGAAGGCAGAACUAGGAACAAAGGAUGGAAGGGGCAGAGGAGCAGUUUUUGGCUUGGUGGAGGACCCACUUUCCAACACAGAUGAAUUCAAGUCACCUUAUCCAGAUGAAGUACAACCUUAAGGUGCUGAAAGAACUUGCAAGCAUGAUGAUUGGGCCAUCAUUACUGAUAUGUGAAAGAUAAUGAAAAAUGAAUGCUCCUGGGGAAAAAGAUAGACUUCUGGAUUGUCUUCUUAGAAUAUCAGGGCUUGCUGUGGGUGCUGGUGAAGGUUGAGAGUGUCCAGUGGCUCUGGAAAGAAGUCAAGAAGAAUGGGAGAGACUGGUGGAAAGCCACUGGGAGCUCUCUUCUCAUGUCUGCUCCUGCUUGAGGACAAUGCCAGGGAGUGGAGGUCACAGCAAUGGAACAUUGAGUUUGGAGAGAAGACUUGGGGGAACGUGAAAGCUGACUUCAAGGAUUAGAAAGACUGUCAUCUGGAAGAGGAUUAGACUUAAUUCAGUUUUCCCUCCGAGCACCAGAACCAGUAAAAAGAAAAAAAAAAAAACUCAGAGAAGCCAAUUUAG